GCCUGGGUGGCUUAGUCGGUUAAGCGUCCGACUUUGGCUCAGAUCAUGAUCCCAUGGUUUGUGGGCUCGAGCCCCGUGUCAGGCU
rnacentral:tRNA from 1 species